rnacentral:lncRNA from 1 species
GUCUCUUGCCAUUAUAGCAAGAAACAUAUGUCUGUAAAAGCAACUGCUUUCAGAAUGUACAUUCUCACUAUCUGCAUAUUUACCCAGUUCAGGGUGUAGUUUGGUGGUGAUAUAUGCUCUUAUUUAUAACUUCGAGUGGAAAUAGUAAGAUGCUUGAGCAGAUGCAGGUAUUUUGCAAAACAUGAUACUAAAAGGGUCUGAUAAGGAUGGAUGUAAAUAUUUCAGUGUUCUUCCCAAAGGCCAUCUUAUUAGAUUACAAAAAAGUAACACCACGAUAAUAUAGACUCUCUUUCAUAGGAGACUGGCAUGUUUUGGUACCUUUGUAAUGUGUCAACUUGGCAAGGCUACAUUACAUUCCCCAGAAUCCCCCUUCCUUUGUGUUGCCAGUUAGGGUGGGCCACAAGUACCUUCACAGCAACAUCUAGACUGCUGUUUGACCAAACACCUGGGCACCAUAGCCUAGGCAAGUUGACACACAAAAUUAACCAUCACGGUGACCCUGCCACUCUUUGGCCAUAGCAAAUUGGGAAAAGAUGCUCACUUUAAAGCUGGACUAAUAAGGUUUCUCUCAUGGGAAUUUAUCGUGAGGGACUUAGAGACUCUUGUGGGUCUUUGUUGAUUCCUUGACCUAGAAAGUUAUACAUUGGUAGUCUUCAAAGGAGCAUAAGAAUGAAGCCGACAUGCAGAGAGAAGCAGGAACAAGAGACCACGUACGCCCGGAGCAGCCCAGGGAAUUAUCUUACCGGGCUUGGCUGUAUUUCCUGCCCUUGGAUUUUGUGAGAUAUUAGAUUUUUUCCAAUGAAUCCUUUUCUAUCUAAGUUACUUUGAGUGAGUUUAUAUUCUGUAUCACCAACUCAUUCCUAAGACACGAUUUUCACACACCAUAUUUUUUCUCAUUUAAGUGGUCAACUGCCAAAGGUGCUAGAGUCAGUUAAGAACAGAGAAGAUUUUAUUGGAUUUCAUGUCAAAGAAUUAAAUUUCUGAGCUUGACAAGAGAAGUCUCAGCCAAGUGGAAGGAUAUAUUCCAAAUGGAGUAGAUUGAAGACAGCAUGUGAGUUACAGCCAGCAUCAGGGCACCGAGUCCCUGGGGGCAGAGGUGAGCAAGGAGAGAAGGCAGUCUGGGAGACAGACAAAGGUUUUUCUGGGCUGGCCCCGUGGCCGAGUGGUUAAGUUCGCGCGCUCUGCUGCAGGCGGCCCAGUGUUUUGUCGGUUUGGAUCCUGGGCGCAGACAUGGCACUGCUCAUCAAACCACGCUGAGGCGGCGUCCCACAUGCCACAACUAGAAGGACCCACAACUAAGAAUGUACAACUAUG